rnacentral:rRNA from 1 species
GAUGAACGCUGGCGGCGUGCCUAAUACAUGCAAGUCGAGCGAACGGACGAGAAGCUUGCUUCUCUGAUGUUAGCGGCGGACGGGUGAGUAACACGUGGAUAACCUACCUAUAAGACUGGGAUAACUUCGGGAAACCGGAGCUAAUACCGGAUAAUAUUUUGAACCGCAUGGUUCAAAAGUGAAAGACGGUCUUGCUGUCACUUAUAGAUGGAUCCGCGCUGCAUUAGCUAGUUGGUAAGGUAACGGCUUACCAAGGCAACGAUGCAUAGCCGACCUGAGAGGGUGAACGGCCACACUGGAACUGAGACACGGUCCAGACUCCUACGGGAGGCAGCAGUAGGGAAUCUUCCGCAAUGGGCGAAAGCCUCACGGAGCAACGCCGCGUGAGUGAUGAAGGUCUUCGGAUCGUAAAACUCUGUUAUUAGGGAAGAACAUAUGUGUAAGUAACUGUGCACAUCUUGACGGUACCUAAUCAGAAAGCCACGGCUAACUACGUG